GAUGAACGCUAGCGGCAGGCCUAACACAUGCAAGUCGAGGGGUAACAUAGGAAGCUUGUCUUUUCUGAUGACGACCGGCGCACGGGUGCGUAACGCGUAUACAACCUACCUUUUAGCGGGGAAUAGCCCAGGGAAACUUGGAUUAAUGCCCCAUAGUAUAUAGACUUCUCCUGAAGUUUAUAUUAAACAUUUAUGGCUAUUAGAUGGGUAUGCGUCCUAUUAGUUAGUUGGUAAGGUAACGGCUUACCAAGGCAGCGAUAGGUAGGGGUCCUGAGAGGGAGAUCCCCACACUGGUACUGAGACACGGACCAGACUCCUACGGGAGGCAGCAGUGAGGAAUAUUGGACAAUGGGCGAGAGCCUGAUCCAGCCAUGCCGCGUGCAGGAAGACUGCCCUAUGGGUUGUAAACUGCUUUUACAGAGGAAGAACCACCCCCACGUGUGGGGGUUUGACGGUACUCUGCGAAUAAGGAUCGGCUAACUCCGUG
rnacentral:rRNA from 1 species